rnacentral:rRNA from 1 species
ACGGAUAUCUCGGCUCUCGCAUCGAUGAAGAACGUAGCAAAAUGCGAUACCUGGUGUGAAUUGCAGAAUCCCGUGAACCAUCGAGUUUUUGAACGCAAGUUGCGCCUGAGGCCUUCUGGCUGAGGGCACGCCUGCCUGGGCGUCACGCCAAAAGAUGCUCCCACCCCAACCCGGUGAGGACGCGGCGUCUGGCUCCCCGUGCCGCAGGGCGCGGUGGGCCGAAGUUGGGGCUGCUGGUGUACCGUGCCGGGCACAGCACAUGGUGGGCUCCUAGAGUUGACAUGGUGUUGUGCCCCGGCGCGCAGCCGGUGAGACGGCCCUCGGGACCCUUUCGACCGCAGCGCUCGUCGCUCGGACUGCGACCCCAGGUCAGGCGGGACUACCCGCUGAAUUUAAGCAUAUAAAUAAGCGGAGGAGAAGAAACUUACAAGGAUUCCCCUAGUAACGGCGAGCGAAC